rnacentral:rRNA from 1 species
AAAAAGCUCGUAGUCGGAUUUUGGCUGAGAACGGUCGGUCCGCCGUUAGGUGUGCACUGACUGGUCUCAGCUUCCUGGUGAGGAGGUGUGCUUCAUCGCCACUUAGUCACCGUGGUUACUUUGAAAAAAUUAGAGUGUUCAAAGCGGGCUUACGCUUGAAUAUAUUAGCAUGGAAUAACACCAUAGGACUCCUGUCCUAUUUCGUUGGUCUCGGGACGGGAGUAAUGAUUAAGAGGAACAGUUGGGGGCAUUCGUAUUUCAUUGUCAGAGGUGAAAUUCUUGGAUUUAUGAAAGACGAACUUCUGCGAAAGCAUUUGCCAAGGAUGUUUUCAUUGAUCAAGAACGAAAGUUGGGGGCUCGAAGAUGAUUAGAUACCAUCCUAGUCUCAACCAUAAACGAUGCCGACUAGGGAUUGGCGGAUGUUAAUUGAUGACUUCGCCAGCACCUUAUGAGAAAUCAAAGUUUUUGGGUUCCGGGGGGAGUAUGGUCGCAAGGCUGAAACUUAAAGGAAUUGACGGAAGGGCACCACCAGGCGUGGAGCCUGCGGCU